AGCCGGGUGGUCCUCCUACCGGUGGUUACUGCCCGCGCUGAACGAAUCAGCCGGUUUCCUUUGAUGAUCUUCAUCGGUUGUCUUGGGUGACCGGCAAGUUUACUUUGAAAAAAUUAGAGUGCUCAAAGCAUGCGUGACGCAUGAAUAAUGGUGCAUGGAAUAAUGGAAUAGGACCUCGGUUCUAUUUUGUUGGUUUUCGGAACACGAGGUAAUGAUUAAGAGGGACAGACGGGGGCAUUCGUAUUGCGACGCUAGAGGUGAAAUUCUUGGACCGUCGCAAGACGAACUACUGCGAAAGCAUUUGCCAAGAAUGUUUCCAUUAAUCAAGAACGAAAGUUAGAGGUUCGAAGGCGAUCAGAUACCGCCCUAGUUCUAACCAUAAACGAUGCCAGCCAGCGAUCCGGCUGUGUUCCUCAAAUGACACGCCGGGCAGCUUCCGGGAAACCAAAGCUUUUGGGUUCCGGGGGAAGUAUGGUUGCAAAGCUCAAACUUAAAAGAAUUGACG
rnacentral:rRNA from 1 species